rnacentral:rRNA from 1 species
AGAGUUUGAUCCUGGCUCAGAACGAACGCUGGCGGCAGGCUUAACACAUGCAAGUCGAACGCCCCGCAAGGGGAGUGGCAGACGGGUGAGUAACACGUGGGAACGUACCUUUCGGUUCGGAAUAACUCAGGGAAACUUGAGCUAAUACCGGAUACGUCCGCAAGGAGAAAGAUUUAUUGCCGAAAGAUCGGCCCGCGUAGGAUUAGCUAGUUGGUGAGGUAAUGGCUCACCAAGGCGACGAUCCUUAGCUGGUCUGAGAGGAUGAUCAGCCACACUGGGACUGAGACACGGCCCAGACUCCUACGGGAGGCAGCAGUGGGGAAUAUUGGACAAUGGGCGAAAGCCUGAUCCAGCCAUGCCGCGUGAAUGAUGAAGGCCUUAGGGUUGUAAAGUUCUUUCAACGGUGAAGAUAAUGACGGUAACCGAGAGAG